rnacentral:rRNA from 1 species
UACGGAGGGUGCGAGCGUUGUCCGGAAUCACUGGGCGUAAAGGGCGCGUAGGUGGCCUGUGGAAGUCUGCGGGGAAAGCCCGGCGCUCAACGCCGGGUCGGCCGUGGAUACUCUCGGGCUCGAGCUUACUAGAGGCAGAUGGAAUUCCGGGUGUAGCGGUGGAAUGCGUAGAGAUCCGGAAGAACACCAGUGGCGAAGGCGGCCCGCUGGGCAGUGGCUGACGCUGAGGCGCGACAGCGUGGGGAGCAAACAGG